GGCUGUUCUGUGGACCACCCACAAAGCUGGGUGGAGCUGGACUGUCAAGCUCAACUUUGACCUCAGAUAUCCCAACGGUAAACACGAGCACCAGACCUGACUGGGUGGUUGAGGGAGCUCCUGGUGAAAUGUGCUGAGGCUUCUGCUGAGGUUUCUACCUCAGCUCCACGGCCUGGCCAGUUCAAUGGAUUGAAGAAAAUGUUCACGGAAGGAAGAUGAUUAAUUGAUCCAGAGGGCCUGUAGCAACUCUGUUUAACAUGCUAGAUGAGCCAGUCUUAUUCAGUGAUGACUAAGGAUCUAGAGAAAACUGGUGUCAGAUGACUUCUUGGCAGUCAUUUGCAGACUAAGGUAGCUUUGAAGGUGAAGAUUCUUUGUGUUCAUUCUCAUCCUGAUGUAAAAAUACUACCUGAGACUGGAUAAUUUAUAAACAAAAGAGGUUUAAUUGAUUCACAGUUCCUCAUGCCUGGGGAGGCCUCAGGAAACUUACAAUCACAGCGGAAGGCAAAAGGGAAGAAGGCACCUUCUUCACAAGGUGGCAGGAGAGACAGUGAGGAAGUGCCAUACUUUAAAACCAUCAGCUCUCAUGAGACUUCACUCAUGAUCACGAGAACAGCAUGGGGAACCUUCUCCCAUGAUUCAAUCACCUCCCACCAGCUCCCUCCUCGACAUGUGGGGAUUACAAUUUGAGAUGAGAUUUGGGUGGGUACACAGAGACAAACCAUAUCUAUCAAUUCUGAAUGUUUAAUACCAGUAUUAUUAGAGGAGGAUCUAGUCCCCUUCAGGACAUAAGGAUCUAUGAUCCUCUGUCAGAACAUAUUAGACCCUUUCCUUUGGCUAUAACCAAAAGAUUAUAAACAUACAUCCAGGAAUAAAAAUAGUAUAUUAAAAUUGUGUGUGUGUGUGUGUGUACGAAUGUAAAUUUUUUGUGCCAAAUCUAAAGACUCUUUACCUAGUCCUAAUGUGUCUUGAAGAUCUUCUGCAGUUUUUUUUCUAGAAAUUUUAUAGUUUUAUGUUUUACAUUUAAGUCUGUGAUUCAUUUUUAGUUAAUUUUUUUUGUAUAAGAUGUGAAGCUUAGGUUAAGGUUCAUGUUUUUGCCUAUGGUUGUUCAAUUGCUCUAAUAGCAUUUAUUGAAAAGGUUAAUGAUUUAUUUGUACUUCUGCCAAAAUUAAUUGAUCAUACUCAUGUGGUCAUACUUCCGCUUUCUCUGUUUUAUACCACUUAGCUUUGUCUAUCUUGCUAUCAAUACCACACUGUCUUGAUUACUGUAGCUAUAUAUUACUGUAGCUAUAUAGUAAACUUUAAUAAAAGGAAGAUGAACUUUCUUCUUCUUUUUUCAAAAUCGUUUUGGCUGUUUAAGGUCUUUUUCUUUUGGUAUACAUUUUAGAGUAAAAGUACAUACUUCUGUGAAAUACCUUACUAAGCUUCUGAUAGGAAAUACGAUAACACUGUAGAACAGUUUAGGGAGGACUGGUAUCUUUACUAAAUCUUCUAACCCAUAAACAUGAUAUUUAGGUCUUCUUGUCUUUCACCAACAUUUUGUAAUUUUCAACAUGUAGAUUCUAUACAAUUUUGUUGAGAUUAUGUCAUCUGUGAAUAAAGACUGUUUUAUUUCUUUUCCAAUUUGUAUGCCUUUUAUUUUUUUGUGUGCUUGUUAUAAUGACUAGAACUUCCAGUAAUACGUUGAAUAAUAGUGCUGAAAACAGAUUUCCUUGCCUUGUUCCUGAUCUUAGAGUGAAAGCAUUUAGCCUUUCACCAUUAUGUAUUACAUAGAUAUUGUUUCUUUUUUUUGUGUAUGUAAUUUCUUAUUAUGAGAUUAAGGAAGUUCCCUUCUAUUCCUAGUGUAUUGAAAGUUUUUAUAAUGAAUGGGUGUUGAAUUUUGU
rnacentral:lncRNA from 10 species